GGGGGAGAAAGUGAGCGAGAAAGAAGAACCCAUUGCAAGAAAAGGAUAAUGAGCAGGCAUAGAGUCAACAGGGAGAGGACAAAAAGAGAAAAACAGCAGCGAGCAGAGGACGGGCAUGAGUGGGAGCGAAGGGAGAGAAGAGGGAGGAAAAACAAACUGAAGUGAAAAACAGAAAGAGGAGGUAUAAGAGUGAAGAGAGAGGUGAAUGGAGGGAGCUGUCAUGCAGCGCUGGAAGAACAGCAGCCUUGAUGUUCGCAUCUCUGAUCGCCUACUCGCUCUGACAGCCGGGUGCAGCGGUAGAAGGGUUCAGACCAGGAAAAUCAAGUCAGUUAAGUGACGUAAGAUGAUUCAGAUGAAGCAAGAGUGCAGGGAUGGCAGGUGACUGGCGGGAGGAUGAAAGCAGCAUGUCAUCUGUUCUGGAGAGCGAUUUGGAAGGCGAUGACAGACGUGUUGGAGGAAUGUGAGCCAACAAAAAGGGCAACUCAAGGAAAAGGACCACGUGAGCUGCUCAGCAAGGAGGAAAAUAUUACCUAAAGGGGAAGAACAUGUGGAGAGUUUCCCUGCAGACCUACAAACAGGUUAAACUGAACCAGAUAAUGACAGGGCAGAAAUCAUAGUGGUGGUGAUGAUAGGUGAUUAUAAAGAAGCAGAAGAUAUUGUGACUCAGUCUGUCCACUAAGGGCCAGUGAUGAUCAGGCAGCUUUGUCACACACAUAGUCAAAAAUCGAUUCUGGAUGACAAGUUGAGUCUUCAAAAAGUUUUCAAGAAAGAGUCUUGAAGCAGUCUUCAGAGUCUGAUGCAGAUAAUGUGUAUUCAAUACAGAGGCUGUAGGAACAAACAUGAGCAAAGUCUUGAGAUUUUAACUGACUACAAAGUGUUACAUCAUCUUAUAUACCUAUGCAAAUUCCUCUUAAACACUCCUCUUCCCUUCUGGAAAGCCACAACCCAUCGUCUUAAGACCCAAUCAGGAUGUACAUGAUGUAAUUUGGCAUUAUUUCUGCUUAACUCAGCGUGACCUAGGUUUCACCUCACGAGUGCAGACGAAGAGAGGGCAUGCACUUUUGGUUUCAUUGCCUUGUAUGGGCUCCAUGGGCUUCCAUUGGGUUGUUGCUUUCCACAGGAUUAUUUAGUGUAUUCAUAACUUCAGUUGAAACUUUAGGUUUUCCAAUCUUAUCAUUGUUUGCUCUUAAAUUUAAUUCACACAUCCUAUUCGUCGGAUUUUAUCAUUUGUUCAAUCUUAAAAUGCCACAACAAAGAGGAUUAUUAAUAGAUGCUAAAUGUAUGCUAGCUUAACCUUUCUGUUAAUAAAAUGACACUGUCUUACACAGCUGGAUCUGUUAAUAGGAAGAGAAGAAAGACCCAGAUAUGAAAAAGAGAAGAUGAGCUUCAUAUGCAGCUAUAAAGCUACCAAAGGAGACAGCAGGCGAAAGAGGCUGGUCUGGCUCAGGUGAUAAAAAGACACCGACAGUGGACCUCCAGCAAAGCAAAAAGCUGCAGAACUUAGUGCAAUUUUCCCACAAAACAAUGUUUGCUGUUUUGGAAUUCGUGUACUAGGGAAAAGGGAAGAAGGAGUGGAGUACGCUGCUGCUUUUUCCUAUUUGUUUUAGGGGUUGAUUGAGAGUAUUUUGAUCAGCAGACCUUAUAUUCAAAUUUUAGAAUUACUAGAACAAGUGGAUCAAUUUACAAAAUCACAUCAAAUGGAAAAUAGCAUUUCAUGUGAAGAAAAAUAAUAAUACUGCUGCCCUGCAUGGCUGAAAGCAAUAAAAUGUGAAGAAAACACAAAAUCAAGUGUUCUUCAAGUACUAUUCAGUCAAGAUGAAAAAAAUGUAGUUAAUUCAUAUUGGUCAGCAUUUCCAUGAGUAUCCAAGG
ensembl:lncRNA